rnacentral:rRNA from 1 species
AACGAACGCUGGCGGCAGGCCUAACACAUGCAAGUCGAGCGCCCCGCAAGGGGAGCGGCGGACGGGUGAGUAACGCGUGGGAAUAUGCCCUUUGCUACGGAAUAGUCUCGGGAAACUGGGGGUAAUACCGUAUACGCCCUUUGGGGGAAAGAUUUAUCGGCGAAGGAUUAGCCCGCGUUGGAUUAGGUAGUUGGUGGGGUAAUGGCCUACCAAGCCGACGAUCCAUAGCUGGUUUGAGAGGAUGAUCAGCCACACUGGGACUGAGACACGGCCCAGACUCCGACGGGAGGCAGCAGUGGGGAAUCUUAGACAAUGGGGGCAACCCUGAUCUAGCCAUGCCGCGUGAGUGAUGAAGGCCUUAGGGUUGUAAAGCUCUUUCAGCUGGGAAGAUAAUGACGGUACCAGCAGAAGAAGCCCCGGCUAACUCCGU